CAUGACAACAUGCUGAACAGAUUCCUCCAUCAUCAUAAUGGCUUGAAUGUACUCUGAAAACAAGAAUAACCUGGGAUGUCACUGUUCAAGUUAAAAGAUAAGUCAAGACUUGAAGUUUAAUACUCUAUAAACCCUUGCAAGCAGUUUUCUGUGUUCGGAUUCUUCCUCAGAAUCCCCUGUUCAUGGCUACUCUGCCCCAAAUAUGUGCCACAGAUCCAAAAAUGGAAGACAGAAGUAUUAAAUAAAUGGACAUGACAGGUACCCUAAAGUUAUAGUACAGAGCCUCUUACGUAUGAAAUGUACAUUACCAUUGGACCUAUCUACUGGAAUGCUGAACAUAAGCCUCUCCCCAGAAGAGCAGCAGACUGAAGGCAGACACCAUGGCUGGUGAG